rnacentral:rRNA from 1 species
UGAACGCUGGCGGCGUGCUUAACACAUGCAAGUCGAACGAAGCAUUUCAGACAGAUUACUUCGGUUUGAAGUCUUUUAUGACUGAGUGGCGGACGGGUGAGUAACGCGUGGGUAACCUGCCUCAUACAGGGGGAUAGCAGCUGGAAACGGCUGGUAAUACCGCAUAAGCGCACAGUACCACAUGGUACAGUGUGAAAAACUCCGGUGGUAUGAGAUGGACCCGCGUCUGAUUAGCUUGUUGGCGGGGUAACGGCCCACCAAGGCGACGAUCAGUAGCCGACCUGAGAGGGUGACCGGCCACAUUGGGACUGAGACACGGCCCAGACUCCUACGGGAGGCAGCAGUGGGGAAUAUUGCACAAUGGAGGAAACUCUGAUGCAGCGACGCCGCGUGAGUGAAGAAGUAGUUCGCUAUGUAAAGCUCUAUCAGCAGGGAAGAUAGUGACGGUACCUGACGAAGAAGCUCCGGCUAAAUACGUG